UGGUCCUUGUCUAUGUUCCUUGGAAGUGAAGCGGCAAAAGCUCAAAUUUGAAAUCUGGCGUCUUUGGCGUCCGAGUUGUAAUUUGAAGAAGGUAUCUUUGGGCCCGGCUCUUGUCUAUGUUCCUUGGAACAGGACGUCACAGAGGGUGAGAAUCCCGUGCGAUGAGAUGACCCGGGUCUGUGUAAAGUUCCUUCGACGAGUCGAGUUGUUUGGGAAUGCAGCUCUAAGUGGGUGGUAAAUUCCAUCUAAAGCUAAAUAUUGGCGAGAGACCGAUAGCGAACAAGUACAGUGAUGGAAAGAUGAAAAGAACUUUGAAAAGAGAGUGAAAAAGUACGUGAAAUUGUUGAAAGGGAAGGGCUUGAGAUCAGACUUGGUAUUUUGCAUGCUGCUCUCUCGGGGGCGGCCGCUGCGGUUUACCGGGCCAGCAUCGGUUUGGAGCGGCAGGAUAAUGGCGGAGGAAUGUGGCACGGCUUCUGCUGUGUGUUAUAGCCUCUGACGAUGCUGCCAGCCUAGACCGAGGACUGCGGUUUUUAACCUAGGAUGUUGGCAUAAUGAUCUUAAGUCGCCCGUCUUGAAACACGGACCAAGGAGUCUAACGUCUAUGCGAGUGUUUGGGUGUAAAACCCGUACGCGUAAUGAAAGUGAACGAAGGUGGGGGCCCAUUAGGGUGCACCAUCGACCGAUCCUGAUGUGUUCGGAUGGAUUUGAGUAAGAGCAUAGCUGUUGGGACCCGAAAGAUGGUGAACUAUGCCUGAAUAGGGUGAAGCCAGAGGAAACUCUGGUGGAGGCUCGUAGCGGUUCUGACGUGCAAAUCGAUCGUCGAAUUUGGGUAUA
rnacentral:rRNA from 1 species